UGGCUCAGUUGGUAGAGCAUGGUGUUUGCAACGCCAGGAUUGUGGGUUUGAUUCCCAU
rnacentral:tRNA from 1 species